AGCAGCCGCGGUAAUUCCAGCUCCAAUAGCGUAUAUUAAAGUUGUUGCAGUUAAAAAGCUCGUAGUUGAAUUUCGGGAUCAAUAUGUUGGUCGUGCCUUGGUACGUACUGGCAUUAUCGAUUCCUACCUUCUGAAGAACCUCGAUGUCAUUAAUUUGGUGUCUUGGGGAAUCAGGACUGUUACUUUGAAAAAAUUAGAGUGUUUAAAGCAGGCUCGCGCCUGAAUACAUUAGCAUGGAAUAAUGAAAUAGGACGUUUGAUUCUAUUUUGUUGGUUUCUAGGAUCGGCGUAAUGAUUAAUAGGGAUAGUUGGGGGCAUUAGUAUUCAAUUGUCAGAGGUGAAAUUCUUGGAUUUAUUGAAGACUAACUACUGCGAAAGCAUUUGCCAAGGAUGUUUUCAUUAAUCAAGAGCGAAAGUUAGGGGGAUCGAAGAACGAUCAGAUACCGUCGUAGUCUUAACCAUAAACUAUGCCGACUAGGGAUCGGAUGAUGUUAAUUUUUUAAUGACUCAUUCGGCGCCUU
rnacentral:rRNA from 1 species